GACGAACGCUGGUGGCGUGCUUAACACAUGCAAGUCGAACGGGAUUUAGUAAACAGAAGCCUCGGUGGAAGAUUACUAAUGAGAGUGGCGAACGGGUGAGUAACGCGUGAGCAACCUGCCUAUGACAGUGGGAUAGCCUCGGGAAACCGGGAUUAAUACCGCAUAAAAUCGUAGAAACACAUGUUUUAACGGUCAAAGAUUUAUCGGUCAUAGAUGGGCUCGCGUCUGAUUAGCUAGUUGGUGAGAUAACAGCCCACCAAGGCGACGAUCAGUAGCCGGUCUGAGAGGAUGAACGGCCACAUUGGAACUGAGACACGGUCCAAACUCCUACGGGAGGCAGCAGUGGGGAAUAUUGCACAAUGGGGGAAAGCCUGAUGCAGCGACGCCGCGUGAACGAAGAAGGUAUUCGUAUCGUAAAGUUCUGUCCUAUGGGAAGAUAAUGACAGUACCAUAGAAGAAAGCUCCGGCUAAAUACGUG
rnacentral:rRNA from 1 species